AGUGAACGCUGGCGGUAGGCCUAACACAUGCCAGUUGAACGUCAGCACAGUAAGAGCUUGCUCUUACGGGUGGCGAGUGGCGGACGGGUGAGGAAUACAUCGGAAUCUACUUUUUCGUGGGGGAUAACGUAGGGAAACUUACGCUAAUACCGCAUACGACCUACGGGUGAAAGCAGGUGAUCUUCGGACCUUGCGCGAUUGAAUGAGCCGAUGUCGGAUUAGCUAGUUGGCGGGGUAAAGGCCCACCAAGGCGACGAUCCGUAGCUGGUCUGAGAGGAUGAUCAGCCACACUGGAACUGAGACACGGUCCAGACUCCUACGGGAGGCAGCAGUGGGGAAUAUUGGACAAUGGGCGCAAGCCUGAUCCAGCCAUACCGCGUGGGUGAAGAAGGCCUUCGGGUUGUAAAGCCCUUUUGUUGGGAAAGAAAAGCAGCAGGUUAAUACCCCGCUGUUCUGACGGUACCCAAAGAAUAAGCACCGGCUAACUUCGUG
rnacentral:rRNA from 1 species